CGGGGUUUCACCAUGUUGGCCAGGCUGGUCUCAAACUCCUGAACUCAGGUGAUCCACCCGCCUCGGCCUCCCAAAGUGCUGGGAUUACAGGCGUGAGCCACCUUGCCCGGCGAAAGUCCUCUUUUCUCCCUGUUUCUGCUCUUGCUGCUGUGUGCACUGAGGGCCCACCACGCACUGGCAGAGGGGCUGGGCUGGGGGAGCUGCCUGGGUGGCUGCAUGGGCUCAGCUGUCCUUUUGAUUUUCAGAUUCGUCUGCGGUGCCAAAAGGGCAUCCCGCCUUCUCUGCGGGGCCGUGCUUGGCAGUACCUGUCAGGAGGCAAGGUGAAGUUACAGCAGAACCCUGGAAAGUUUGACGUAAGUUUCCCUUCCUUUGCCCUGCCCUCCCUUCCGCAUCUCUUGGCGUCCUCCCCAUGGCAGCAAUCCUCCAUGUGCUCACCUGAACCUCACAGGAUGAGCAGUCCAUGAAACCUCCAGUCAUGUGCCCAACUGCCCAGGCCCCAGCAGGCCAGACCGGCCCAGUCCUGGGUACCUGUGUCUCCUGGAGGGUCUGUACAACUGAGGCUCCAGCCCUGAGCAGCCCUCAGUGGAAUGGCCAGAUUUGGUACCCCCUAUUCCAGCUCUUUCUCUUGAUGACCACUCAGGUUUUGCUUUCCUGGGCUCAGUAGGCUACCUCCCUGCUCUUGGUUAUCAGGAGGGGACACUCAGACCAUUUCCCUGACUGCCUUGGGCCCUGUGCCCUGGGCCUAUGGGGGCUUGACUAGCAGGACCACAGGUCCUUCAGUGCCUCCUGGCCUCCCAUCCUCUACUUUCUCCUGCCUUGUCCAAGCCUGGCCAGCACAGCCCACCUGUGUGUCUUGUGGGGUCAUCAGCCCUAGGAGUAGCAGAGCCAAACCCAAGGGGACUGAAGGGAACUGCCCAAGUAGCUCAAGGGGUCAGACGCCAGUCAGUGGCCAGAGAGGGUGCCCUCUGUUGUUAUCCCUCCUCCUGUCCCGAUAUCCCUCCUGCUGCUCCCUGCCCCAUGGCUGGCCAGAGUAAAAUACCUCUCCAUUCAGAGCUGGGCAGCUCCUCCAGCCUGCUCCCCUAGGGAACUAUGGGGAAGCAGUUGGAUUCCCUGGGGUUGCCCCGGCUUACCUGCCAGAUCUGGCCGCAGGCAUCGGGGUUUCUCGCAGGCCCUUGGGACUGGUGACAGGCAGACAGUGAGACAGAGCAGAGCUGCCUACCACCAGCUCUUUGUUGACAUAUCUCAUGCUUCUUUAUUGAACACUCCAGUCUUGCCAAACCUGUUCCUUGAGAUGACUGGGCAGGAGCAGGGCAAGGUAGCCUAGAGUUUCUGCUGUUGACCUGGAGAGGGCGAGAGCUUUUUGCUGGCAACACGUGGACUUGCAGGGGCAGGGAAGCUGGUAGAGUGUCUGGCUGGGGUAGGUCUGAAUCUGGCUGAUUGGAUUAUUCCCCAGAGCACCAAUACCAGGCCACACUGGAGCAGCCUCUUGACUCCAGAGUCUUCCUCCUAGUGGCUACAUCUCUUCCAUUUCGAGGGGCUGCAUCCUGGGCAAAGUGGGAGGCUCAGGGGUGGGAACCUCAGUCCAAGUCCAUAGUUAACAUCAGGCUGCCAGAGCCAGGCAUGAGAGCCAAGAGCGUGGGCAGCCUGGUCAGCCUCUUGGCUGUGUGGUUCAGCAAGCGUGAGUGUGUGUGCAGCAGAACACAGAGCUGUGUGCAUGUGUGUGUAGAGCUGUGCUUCCAGAGAAGAAUCAGCCACCCCCCAGGGGGUCUGGAAGGUUGCUUGUGUGAGGAGGUGGAUUUGCAGAGAAGGCCUUCUUGAUGCACCGAAGCUGAGUGACGGGUUCCUGCACAGUUCUGGGGGCUGGAAGAAUGGUUUGUGAGCACACCUGGAAGGACUUUGCCUGUGGGUGACCCAGAGGAAGCAUGAGGAGCUUCCCCUGGUUGCUGCGGGUCCUGUGCCGAGGCAGGGCACAGUGGGGGUCUGGUGAUGGCAGCAUGCACCUGUUUCUGUGCUCUCUCCCCACAGGGCCCUCCAUUCAAUACCCAGUCCAGGUGGCCCAUCCCAACCUCAGCAUUCAGGGCAGGCUCUGCAGGUGCUGGUGGCUCCUUCUCCUGCACGUGCUAUUUCUUCCUCCUUCCUUGGGCAGGCAGGACCUCCCUGUCCUUUUUUACCUGGCUUUCUUCUCUGGCUUCACCUUAUGAUGGCGCCAGUACCCCUCAGGCUGGUGGAGGCUACAGGCCCCAUGACCAUGGUACCUGCUUGUCUGCCGGUGCCCUUUCGAUCUGCAGCUACCCUCUUUUCCUUUCUCACCAACCAUGUGUGGCCAAGUGCCUUAGGCUGCUGAAGUGCCAGAUGAACACAUCCUAGGAACUGACUUCCGGGGUUUUCGGGUUCCUACCUCAUGGGAACUGCUAGGAGAAUUUGUGGGGCCCUCUUCCCCAUUCUGACAAAAGCAAACCUGCACUGCGCUCAGACAGUACUUAGAGGUGCACAGUACACAGACCCCCAUCACAAGGGUGUGUGGGGCCCCAGAGGCACGCAUCCACCGCUCCGCUAUGUGCCUGCUAAAGGGCUCUGUGUGGAGGCCCCAGCCCCUCCCUGUCCCCUCCAGCCCUGAACACUCUGUCAGCCGCUCCUCUCAGUCCUUACCCUCUAGUCAAGUUCCUGGCACCCUAGGUUCUUGAGCUUAAUGCUAGGACACUCCCACUGAGGGCCAGAGAGGGAAAGGGGCUUGUAUGAAGUCACCUGCUCGUCAGGGCAGGGCCUGGGUCUGCGCCCACUGGGUAUGUUUGCUGAGGACCUGGCCUCCCUCCUGAGGGCCUUCCCUGAUGCUGCCCCUGCCCUGCAGGCAACUUGUACUUAAACCAACACUCCCAUGAAGGUGCCUGGGCCACACCUUUCAGCACAUUCUGGUUCCUCUGGUGAAUACUCUGCUUCCCUGCUCAGCCCUCUGGGCUUCCUCCUUAUUUAUUUUUUCUUUCUUUUUUAAAAAUUGAGGUAUGAAUUUACAUACAGUAAAAUGCAUAGAUCUUGAAUGUGCAUGCAGUUCAGUGAGUUUUGAUAAAUAAUACACAUCCAUGUAACCAACAUGCAGAUCAAGGUAGAGAACAUUUCAAAUGACCAAGAAAAGAUUUUCCUUUUUGUAAUGGCUUUGUUGUUUUGUAAAGGUGCACAUACUAAAGUGUUCACAGAAGUUCAAAGAAAAGAGUAAAACUUUGUUGAAACCUCGGCACCCAGAGAAGUAUCUGAGGUUAAUGGUUUGACAGAUGUCAUGUCCUUCCAGAAAGAGCUCUGUGCAGAUCUCACACACACCUGGCUUCCUGGAUAGUUGAUGCCACCUGCACAGGGAGGCACGUAGCUGAGGAGCUGGGAUGGACGGCUUUGAGUCAGACCUGGCUUCCAGUCCCAGCUCCACCAUUUUUCUAGCCAGAGUAAAAUACCUUGACAUGAGGCCUUGACAUUCAGUUUUCUCAUUUGCGAACAGGGUGUAAUGAUAGGUCCUAUCUCUGGAGGUUGGGGAGCAGGAUCAGUAAGGCCCACAGGUACCCUGUGCCCAGCUUAGCGCCUGGCUCAGAGAAGUGGGAACAGCUGGUAGCUAUUGCUCAGAGAAGCAGCCUUCUGUCUUAAGGAUGUGACAUAAUGUAUCUGACUCCCGAAUGAAAUGUCUAGAGGUCCUUCCAGCCGCAGCUAGAGUGGACACUCUUGCCCUCAUCGGUCUUCCUAGAGCCAGGUUUAAGGUUUCCAGGGCCCUUCCCUCCUUGCCCCUUUGCCCCUGCCCAGGCAUCCUUACCUGAGCUUCUCUUCUUGUCCUUGGGAAGGCCCAGUCUGUGAUGGGCUUGGGUGGGCACUGCCCCUGGUGGAGGGCCCCCUCCCCUAAUCCCUGGGCAGCCGUGUCCUGUCAGCAAAGCCCACCUCCAUCCUCCCCAGCCCCUAAUUUGUGCCCUUGCUUCUAGGAGCUGGACAUGUCCCCUGGGGACCCCAAGUGGCUGGACGUGAUUGAGCGUGACCUGCACCGGCAGUUCCCAUUCCAUGAGAUGUUUGUGUCCCGGGGGGGCCACGGCCAGCAGGACCUAUUCCGUGUGCUGAAGGCCUACACGCUGUACCGGCCCGAGGAGGGCUACUGCCAGGCCCAGGCGCCCAUUGCCGCUGUCUUGCUCAUGCAUAUGCCUGCUGAGGUACCACCAGGCCCCGGGCAGGCAGGGGGGUGGGUGGGGAACCCCCAACGGCAAGGCCUCACAUCUCUCUUGCCCACAGCAAGCCUUCUGGUGCCUGGUACAGAUCUGUGAGAAGUACCUGCCCGGCUACUACAGCGAGAAACUGGAGGCGAUCCAGCUGGACGGGGAGAUCCUUUUCUCGCUGUUGCAGAAGGUGUCACCGGUGGCCCACAAGCACCUCAGCCGUCAGAAGAUCGACCCGCUCCUCUAUAUGACAGAAUGGUUCAUGUGCGCCUUCUCCCGAACCUUGCCCUGGAGCUCUGUGCUGCGUGUCUGGGACAUGUUCUUCUGUGAAGGUACUGGGCUGGGCUUGGGGGGAGCACCCCUGUCCCCAGCAGCCCACAGUGGGGCCUCUCUUUGCAGAGAAACCCCAAAAAGCUUCCUUGUACUUACUGCCCAUCCCCCAUGCAGGGGUCAAGAUCAUCUUCCGGGUGGGGCUGGUGCUGCUGAAGCACGCGCUGGGCUCCCCUGAGAAGGUCAAAGCCUGCCAGGGCCAGUACGAGACCAUCGAGCGACUGCGGAGCCUCAGCCCCAAGAUCAUGCAGGAGGCCUUUCUGGUCCAGGAGGUGGUGGAGUUGCCCGUGACAGAGCGCCAGAUUGAGCGCGAACACCUCAUCCAGCUGCGGCGCUGGCAGGAGACCCGGGGUGAGCUGCAGUGCCGCUCCCCGCCCAGGCUGCAUGGUGCCAAGGCUAUCUUGGAUGCAGAACCUGGUCCCCGGCCUGCCCUACAACCUUCACCAUCCAUCCGCCUGCCCCUAGAUGCCCCCCUCCCUGGCUCCAAAGCCAAGCCCAAGCCACCCAAGCAGGCCCAGAAGGAGCAGCGGAAACAGAUGAAGGGGAGAGGGCAGCUGGAGAAGCCCCCAGCCCCAAAUCAAGCCAUGGUGGUGGCCGCUGCAGGAGAUGCAUGUCCCCCACAGCAUGUGCCCCCAAAGGACUCAGCCCCCAAGGACUCAGCCCCUCAGGAUUUGGCUCCCCAGGUCUCAGCCCACCACCGCUCCCAGGAGAGCUUGACGUCCCAAGAGAGUGAGGACACCUACUUGUAACCCUGGCAGCUAAGGCCUCCAGGGCGGGGUCUCCAUAUAACUACACGGUUCAUGAACUGACAUUCCACAUCCUGCCCACCCUCUGAGGGCCAAGCUGCCUGGCCACUGGGCUGGGCUGGAGUCUGGCUGGUCCAACACAGAUUCUGCCUGGUCCAACACAGAUUCUGCCUGAGCCUCCUUAUUUAUUUUCUUUACAGUGGCACUCAGGCUGGCCCAGCCAGGGCAGGCAGAAGCUAGGGCCUGGGGGGUGGGGCCUCCUUCAGCCCCCUCCUCCUGGGGGGAUGCUCCCCAGGGUUAGGGUGCUGGUGUGAGGGGAAAGGGUGGGGUGUUCUUUGUGUAAAAUAGAAACAUGGUUUUGUACAGAAAUAAACAGCCUUGUAUAGAG
rnacentral:sRNA from 1 species